UGAGCAACCUACCGAACUGUGGGGAUAGCCGGCCUAACGGCCGAGUAAUACCGCAUACGCUCUCAGAGAGGCAUUUCUUUGAGAGGAAACCUACGGGACAGAUCGAGGGCUCGCGGCCUAUCAGCUAGUUGGCGAGGUAACGGCUCACCAAGGCAACGACGGGUAGCUGGUCUGAGAGGAUGGCCAGCCACAGUUGGGACUGAGAUACCGGCCCAGACCUCCGUACGGGAGCAG
rnacentral:rRNA from 1 species